UUUUAAAUUAUUUCUUUGACGACAUUGGCUUAUUAAAUUGCCGAAGAUAACAUGUUUCAGCAACAUCUGUCAUUAUAUUUCAAUAUUUUUAUAGACGCCAAGGUGUAAACACUCAUUUUCGGAUUUGAGGAGGGAAAAUACUUCUCGACCAAAAGUGAGCCUGGAUUGAUCUUGCUACCUGAACCCGACUGUAGGGGCCGAAAUCCGUGACAAAGCUCUAUGUGCUCUUUAUUAUGUAUUAUGAUCGAGAUAAGGCCGAGGGGCAAUUGCUGUCAGAUGAUCACGAACUGCAACGUUGUCAACACUUCAAAUUUUCUUACCCAAUUUGCAGAAGCAGUGAGGAAGUCGAGCAAGAGGAAACUAUAGAAAAUAGGCUGUAUGACUGUCCUGCGCUAGCAAGAAGAAGUAGUUCUACGUAAGGUUUUUAUUUCCUUGAGGACUUGACUGAAUUAGCGGAUGUGAAAAUUUUUGUUGCAGUCACAUUUGCAUGUGGAGCUAGCGAUUCACGUCAAGCUCCUAUGGGUUGGUAAUUCGGAAAUUUGACAGCAAUCAAAUGUUUUUGUUUUCAACCCAAAACACGAUUCUUUGUCUGCACUUAUUGUUUCCUCUAUUUUAUAUUUUUCCCAAAUAAAUAAAGAAAAACGAGCCAUUGAAACCAAUUAAACAAAGAAAAAUGAUGCGGGAACAGUUUUAUGUGUUGUCAUUAUCAAUUUUUUUUGUCAAUUUCCUCACUAUAAGCAAAGUACUACUAUUCCGUCUAUUUUAGCCAAAAUACUGGCUGCCGCCCUUGUUUUAUGGAGUUUGACAGCAUUCAGCUCGAAAAGCUAAAUGUUAUACACAGUUUGUCGAUGAGCAAGCCUGUGUCGAUCGGCACCACACGGAAUGGAACUUUGAGAUCCGAUUUGUAUAGUGGUCAUCGCUAAUACGUAAAGCUCAGCUGGGAGAUACCGGUCGCAUUCACAUCUUGCGAAUGGUGGAAUGUUCCAUCCGGAAAAAAAUGUAAUUGCAGUCGCAGACAAUCAGGGUCUCAGCGAGCGGCUCCGGCUAUUGCUUAAUCAUUAAGUGCCUACAAUUUUCGAUAUGACAAGACAAGUUAUGGGCGCCUUUAAUCAACCAUUUAGAAACAAGGCCACCUCUCGACAGACGAAGAUUACACUAUACAAGAGACUGAUACUUCCCGUGCUGUUAUAUGGUUCUGAAGCAUGGGUACUUGUGAAAGCAGAUGAGGCAGUGCUUGGAGUAUUUGAGAGAUUCUUCGUAAAAUAAAUGGACCAGUUUGCGUUAAUGGAGCAUAUAGGCGAGGUAUGAACCACGAGCUGUAUGAGCUUUAUGACUACGAUAGCAUAGUAGUCAACGCAUCAAAAUACAACGGCUGCGUUGGCUAGGUCAUGUGGUCAGAAUGGAUGAAGAAGCUCCAGCAAAGAAGUAUUUUGAAGGCAA